rnacentral:misc_RNA from 1 species
GUGAAUCAUCGAAUUUUUGAACGCAAAUUGCACUCUCCUCGAAGAGGAUGCGUGUUUGAGGGUCAGCCUAUAAAAAAUCGAAAUCGUUGCUGUUUCGCGGUGGCGGUCGUGGGAAAUUGGGACAUUUUAAAUCUUUUGGUUUUAAGCGAAUUAAAAUUAUCCAUUUUGGUCCCAUGAAUGAUUUUAAGAUUGUUUU